UGAUACGCAAUGACGAGAUAAGUAGAUCUGUUGUGUUCUUCAAAGAGAGCCGGAGUGGUGGAAGCCGGUAAGGAUACAGGAUUGAAGAUGGUCUUUGAGCGUCCAGAGCCGAAUAAUUAAGUUCUGGCGGGUGUUCCCGAUAGCGAACAAGGGUAUCUCAUGGUUUCAUGACGUACCCGAUAAGGACUAUUUUGUGAAAAAUAGUCAAAUUAAAGGUGGUAACGCGAGUAAUCGUCCUUAUG
rnacentral:ncRNA from 1 species